rnacentral:rRNA from 1 species
UACGUAGGUGGCAAGCGUUGUCCGGAUUUACUGGGUGUAAAGGGCGUGUAGGCGGGGAUGCAAGUCAGAUGUGAAAUCCCGCGGCUCAACCGCGGAACUGCAUCUGAAACUGCGUCUCUUGAGUGUCGGAAGGGAAAGUGGAAUUCCUGGUGUAGCGGUGAAAUGCGCAGAUAUCAGGAGGAACACCGAUGGCGAAGGCAGGUCUCUGGGCCACUACUGACGCUGAGAAGCGAAAGCAUGGGGAGCGAACAGGAUUA